rnacentral:lncRNA from 1 species
UUUUUUUUUUUUUUUCCAAGAACCUUCUCAGAUACUCCAUAACUUCCUUUGUACACAGUGUAUUUGGAUCUAUAAAGUCCAAAGCACUGGACCCAAACUCAAAGUUCUCAUCCAACCACUCAGUCUUCCCUUAGCUGAUGGGGUCAUUAUCUUUUUGAUGGAGAAUUCUUGCUCUCACUUUCCUCCAUGCUGAAUCUCCCACUGAUUGAUUCUAGGCGAGGAAGCAUUUCUAUCUGUGUAGUUGUCUUCAGGGAUAAAAUCAGAUACUUUCCAUUCUUGGUAAACAUAGUUGAAAGGGACUUCCAAUAUUUGAGGCCACCAGAAUCCUAGCUUUUUGGUGGUAGGAAUUGUGGGUUUUUUAACUCUGAAUUUCCAGUGCGUUACACAGUGCCUAGCAGACAAUGGUGCUUAGUAAAUCUCAUAAAUGAAUGUUUUUAUUACAUUCUCAGUAGAGUGGCAUGGAUUUAGAAGAAUGGAACUGCCCUGCACAAAAUAGGCAAGGCAUAAUGCAUUCAUUGUUGACUAAAGGAGCUCAACUUGAACUAGAGUAUAUCUUGGUGGUGGUGGUGGGGGGGUGGUUUCCAGAUGCUUCCAUUGAAACUAGAGCUUCAUUAUAUCAUUGUUAUAUCUACUAAGUCCAAGUUCUCAGCUCCCAGAAAAAGUAUAGUCAAUGUAUAGAACUUUCUCAGUUUGAUGUUUCUUAUUCUUUUCCUCCCACAAUUCUUUUUCUUAAACUUCAUGUUUGCUUGUGUGCUGGUGUCAAAACGCACACUUGAUCUCAAGUACUUUCUUCUUAGCCCAAGAGAAUCACUUCUCACCUCACAUUUGGAAGAUAGCCUUAUCUUAUUCAUUUUGCUCCUUCUAAAGAAUGACCUCUUAAAGUUUUCCUAUAUCAUAUUCUGAUACACAGAAACUGAAUAUCUAUCAUGGGAUUCCAUUUCCGCUUGAGGACAUCAUUCAUAGUUUUUACGAUGGAAUUAAUUUGCCAUGAUUUCAUGGGAUGCUAUUAAAACUAUUGAAGUUUCCCCAGCCAGCUUCAGGACCACUGGUAUAUCUGAAGCAGGAUGAUCUUGGGCCACAUUAUUAACCAGUCCUGUUGGACUCUUCCAUCAUGCUGUUCUUUCAUCUGACAAAAAGAUCUUUGUGGAAGCACAUAACUUAAGUUCAAUCCUCCACCUGGAAUUUCUGCUUCAUCAAUGCUAGCCAUGCUGCUGAUGCUGCCUGUGAGCAGGCAACUUGAACAGAUUUGGCUUGCUUCUUUGGAAUGACUUUUUUUUUUUUUUUUAAGGAAUAUCAAAGCAGAAUAUUCUAGAUCAUUUUCUCUCUCUGUUACUUAAAUGGGAAAGAACAGCUCUUAAAAAUGUCUUAUCAUUCAUGAAAUGUAUAUUUUGUCUUUGUCUGUACUGGUAAUGACAGCUUACUAUAUGUUGGAGACAGGAUGAUAAUUGACACAAAGCCAAUCCCUGUCAUCCUGGCCUUAUCAUCCAGCAGGGGAGACUAGACUGCCCUCCUAUGGUUUAAGAAAUAAUACAAGCACUUACCCGUCAUAGGUUUUUAAAAGAACCUAAGGGAGUCCUCUAACUUUGGAUCCAUGGUAACUAUUUUUAGCUUGAAGUUGGGAAAGUCUCACUUGUCCAUCUGAGAACUCCACUGGGUUCCUGGCAAAUGCAUCUAUUGGUAAGAUACUGAGGCCAGUCAGUUCUGUA